AUGUGGGAUGCAGUCAUAGAAGUUUUGGGCAUUGUUGAGGAUGAUGUGCGUGUUCCAUGUAGAGCAGGAGGUUUGGUUCAUCAAAUGGAGACUUCAAGCUUUGUGUUCAUCCUGAAGAUGAUGCUAAAGAUCCUUCGUAUGACAAAUGAUUUGUCUCUUCUAUUGCAAAAGAAGGAUCAAAAUGUUGUUCAGGCAAUGUCAUUGGUUACGGAUGUGAGAACACGUUUGAUCAAUUGGAGAAAUGAUGGUUGGGAGCCACUCUUGGAAGAUGUCAAAGCCUUUUGCACCAAAAACGACAUUCCAAUACCAAAUAUGGAUGACAUGUUUACAAAGUGGGGAAAAUCAAGAAAAGGUGGACGAAACAAUGUCACAGCUGAUCAUUUUUUUCGUGUGGACACCUUCUAUGCUACCAUAGACUCCAUCACCACAGAGUUUGAUCAUCGUUUCGAUGAGGUAUCUUCAGAGCUGCUCCAGAACUUCUCUUGUCUUGACCCAAGAAACUCCUUUUCUAGGUUCAAUGUGAAUAAGCUUGCUAGACUUACAGAGAUUUAUUGUGAGGAUUUCUCAGAUUAUGAACGUGAACAUAUAGUUGAUAACCUCGAGCUAUUCAUUAUCCAUAUGAGAAGAAUUGAAGAAUUUAGAGCUUGUCAUGAUAUUGCAAGCCUAGCUAAAAAGAUGGUUGAACUUGAAAGGCAUGUCAUGUUUCCUGCUGUUUAUCGCCUCAUUGAGUUGGCAUUGCUACUACCGGUAGUGACGGCAACAGUUGAAAGAGCCUUCUCAUCAAUGAAAAUCAUCAAGACUGAGUUGCGCAGCAAGAUGUCUGAUGGCUGGCUUAAUGACUUGAUGGUGUGUUACAUUGAGCGAGCGAUCUUCAAAAGUAUUGAUCUUGAUAAAAUUAAGGAAGAUUUUCAGAAGGAAGGUAGGGCACUGCCAUUGCCUGGGUCUUCUACACGCCAUUAA
rnacentral:rRNA from 1 species